CGUAUUUUGAUAAUAAAAUUAUAUCCUACGACGUUCAAUGGAGUUCGAGUAUGAAAGCGGGUUUGUAUGAACAUACGGAUCGCUUAAAACACGGGAUUGGGCUUGUGGGCCUUGGGCCCAAGCCCAAGCCCAAGCCCACUAAGAGAAAAACCUAGCUAUAAAGGAAGUCAAACCCUAACUCUUGUUCAUUGGAUCAGCCGCUCACCUCAUAUUGUCUAACCUUAUCUUCUUCUUCAUUUGAAAGAAAUGAAGCACUUUAUCUCUCUCUCUCUUUCGAUCUAUGUAUCAGACACACAAGAAAAGGAAAAUAACAUAAAACCCAUAUCAACUAUAACAUUCAUCUCCCUCAAACACUUCCACUCACCAACACAGCCCCCCCCCAACCCUCGUCGCUCUGAUCGGCGACCGGAGUGAUGCCGGUGAAUGGUUUCCGGUGAGUCACCCCUCCGACACCUCACCCGACACCCUCUUCGCUCCCCCUCUGUUUCACCGUAGAUCGACACCAGUAGCAGCGCCGCCAGGCCGCGGCGGCGGUUAUUCUCCGCCCUUCUUCUCCGAUGACACCUACACACCACAUACUUCGUCUUCCACUGUUUCUCUAACCAACAACAACUCCGGCGGCGAAGAUGAUAUCUGAUGGAGAUGAUGAUGUUAACGUGAAGACAGGGGUGGUUGACGGAACCGACGGCGGUGGUGUUCGAUGUUCCCGACGACAGACCCGCUGAAGUGGUGACGCAAUUCAGUUGGUUUCGAGUGUACAUCGGGUUAAGUUUCAUUGUUCGGGUCAAGUCUCGGGUAGCUCGGUUCGAGUCAAGCCAGUCAACAGUAAAUCACGGUCAGAACUUCGGUUCGGGUGUGGUCAACAGCGGUCAACUUCGGGUUCAAGUCAGCGGGUCAGAUUUGCACUCCGUGUUAACUCGGUCAAACCGAUUUGACUCGGUCAACACCCGAGUCAACUCGGGUCAACAAUGCGGACCGGUUCAGUUUUAGUCAAAGAUUGGUUUAUCUCGAGUUCAGCUCAGUGAAGGAUUAACUCGGUUAGGGUUCUGAUUACACACAGUUCAACUCGGUUUGACUCGGUCAAACCGAGCCAACUCAGUCAACGGCGGUCAACAAGAGUAAAAAAAAAAUGGUCAACUCAGAUCCGGUAAAGUUUUAAGCGUAGCGAAUUAGUUACGUUAGAUUUCAUAUAGUUAAACGCGAAACCGAGCUCGACCGAUACCGUUAGUGAUUAAUCACGUUUUAUUUUUGUCGUA